rnacentral:sRNA from 1 species
AUAUGACUAGAUGUCAUGUGUAUGAUUGAGUAUAAGAACUUAAACCGCAAUCGGAUCUUAAAAGCCUAAAUU